CUACAACCUCCGUCUCCCAGGUUCAAGUGAUUCUCAUCGCCUCAGCUUGAUAGGGAUGAGGAAGAAAUGACCAAAUGAGAUGACAAAAGAGAUAUCAACAGACACUGCAAGGAAAGGCCCUCUAAAGAUAAGAUGAAGAUGAAAAAACCACAUUAAAUUUGGAGAAUUCCAACAAAAGCCUCUCUGCUGAACUCACAGAAGUUAAAAAGGAC